rnacentral:rRNA from 1 species
GACGAACGCUGGCGGCGUGCCUAACACAUGCAAGUCGAACGGAGAUUUCAGCAAUGGAAUUUUAGUGGCGAACGGGUGAGUAACACGUGAGUAACCUGCCCCGAACUCUGGGAUAACUGCUGGAAACGGUAGCUAAUACCGGAUAUGACCAAUGAAGGCAUCUUCUGUUGGUGGAAAGAAUUUCGGUUCGGGAUGGACUCGCGGCCUAUCAGCUUGUUGGUGAGGUAACGGCUCACCAAGGCGACGACGGGUAGCCGGCCUGAGAGGGUGAUCGGCCACACUGGGACUGAGACACGGCCCAGACUCCUACGGGAGGCAGCAGUGGGGAAUAUUGCACAAUGGGCGCAAGCCUGAUGCAGCAACGCCGCGUGAGGGACGACGGCCUUCGGGUUGUAAACCUCUUUUAGUAGGGAAGAAGCGAAAGUGACGGUACCUGCAGAAAAAGCACCGGCUAACUACGUGCCAGCCGCCGCCGUAA